UAAUCCUAAUGGAGUACAAGAAUACUCUGAACUGAAGAGAGAGGGAGAGAAUAAGGGUCAACAGGGUCUGUCUACUGGUGCUACUGGACUAUAUUCAACCAUUAAUAAAAACACCAACAACCAGGUGUUAGUUGAUGAAUCAGCUCAUAAGCCAGUGUAUGCUGAUCUGGCUAUUGCUGCUAAAGGGAAGAGACCACAGGCAGCACCAACACAAGAACAACCAGUGGUAUAUGCAUCAGUUAACAACAAAUCUGUUCCUCCUCCCAUUCCUCCUCCAGCUGCUCCUCAUAAAGUAUUGUAUGCUGAUCUAUCAAUAGCAGCUGAUAAGAGAACACCAAAGAAUAAACCACCCACUGAGG
rnacentral:lncRNA from 1 species